UGAGCUUGUAACCCAAGUGGGGGCAUCAAGGUGUCUGGACACUGUUCAAGCCCACUGACUGGAUUUAGGUUUGCAUCAAACUGGUCUACCCAUUCCAAGCAAGGAAUUGCACCAUGUGGUUCAAGCGAAGGUUCAAGCUGCUUGGUUCCUAAAGCAGAGGAGACCGCGUCAGGCUGGCUUCACAGAGCAGCGAUGACCUCUCGUUUCUUGCAGUGGAAGGAUAACGGGCCGGUGCUUCCUGAUCCAGAAAAGUCAG
rnacentral:SRP_RNA from 1 species